rnacentral:rRNA from 1 species
UACGGGGGGGAGCAAGCGUUGUUCGGAUUUAUUGGGCGUAAAGAGCUCGUAGGCGGCUUGUCGCGUCGUCCGUGAAAACCUGCAGCUCAACUGCAGGCUUGCGGUCGAUACGGGCAGGCUAGAGUUCGGUAGGGGAGACUGGAAUUCCUGGUGUAGCGGUGAAAUGCGCAGAUAUCAGGAAGAACACCAAUGGCGAAGGCAGCUCUCUGGGACGGUACUGACGCUGAGACGCGAAAGCGUGGGGAGCGAACAGG